GGGGGCGAAUGGCUUCGACGGAGUGCCUGAGGGGCUCAGGGGCAUAGCGAGGCUCCUCUGUUGCCUCGUUAAUACCAACAGAGGAACUACAGCUGCCAACAGCAGCUACGCACUGGCUGCCUAAAGCGAGGUAGCCCCUGGACCGGCGAGUUUCACCCGGCGCCGGCUCCGGGUCUAACAGGGUGAUCAAGACCGAAUCUGUGUCUCAGGGGUUCGGUCGGAUUACUAACUGAGGCUGGUCUGUCCCCGCCUGUCAGUCGGCUAAGGGACAGAUGAGAUAAAAAGGACUGACUAACUAUGUAGAACCUGAGCUCUGAACGCUUCGGACGCGGGUUCAAUUCCCGCCGCCUCCAUGG
rnacentral:tmRNA from 1 species